rnacentral:misc_RNA from 1 species
AGUGUUUUGGUCUCCUUUUUAUGAGCUGGUUUCAGAAUCCAGAGGGCAGAAAUUUCCGUGGAAAAGUCCAGGAUAUAAAUCCCUAACCCAUUUCUUCCUUAAAUUUGUUGUUGGCAGAGACUCUCCUUCUCGUAGAUCAUUGACUGUCGAAGCCAAGAUUCGGGGUGUUCACUGUGGAUUAUCGACUGCCAGAAGCUCCAUUAUCGAAGCAAAGAACUUGAUUUCACAGAAGCCAAAGCAGA